rnacentral:rRNA from 1 species
ACGGGUGAGUAACGCGUGGGAAUCUACCCAUCUCUACGGAAUAACUCAGGGAAACUUGUGCUAAUACCGUAUACGCCCUUUUGGGGAAAGAUUUAUCGGAGAUGGAUGAGCCCGCGUUGGAUUAGCUAGUUGGUGGGGUAAGGGCCUACCAAGGCGACGAUCCAUAGCUGGUCUGAGAGGAUGAUCAGCCACAUUGGGACUGAGACACGGCCCAAACUCCUACGGGAGGCAGCAGUGGGGAAUAUUGGACAAUGGGCGCAAGCCUGAUCCAGCCAUGCCGCGUGAGUGAUGAAGGCCCUAGGGUUGUAAAGCUCUUUCACCGAUGAAGAUAAUGACUGUAGUCGGAGAAGAAGCCCCGGCUAACUUCGUGCCAGCAGCCGCGGUAAUACGAAGGGGGCUAGCGUUGUUCGGAAUUACUGGGCGUAAAGCGCACGUAGGCGGGUAUUUAAGUCAGGGGUGAAAUCCCAGAGCUCAACUCUGGAACUGCCUUUGAUACUGGGUACCUAGAGUAUGGAAGAGGUAAGUGGAAUUCCGAGUGUAGAGGUGAAAUUCGUAGA